CAAUCUGGUUCGAUUUGACUGGAUCCUAUAAGCGUGGUUUGCCUGUUUGCUAAACACAUGUUUAGCGAUGGAUUCUUCCAGGAAUGACAACCGUAAAAGAUGACACAAUGACUAUAAUCCUGAUGUCAUCUGAGGUGACCUCACAGACAAACAGGCGAUGACUGACAGCCUCAUCUCAUCAAAUACAAAAGCAGCAGCAGGAGGGGCUGUGACUGGACAGAGAGAAGAAAAAAAAAGACUUCAUUAGUAUGACACAAGUGCAUGGAGACCAUACAGGGGACUAUCAUACGGUGUGUUGCAUCUUAACCGACAUCAGACUGUUCUUGGAGGGCUCGUAAACACGCAGAGAAGCGUUGUGUCUCGGGCCACCUCUGGGAGUGCAAGGGCCACAAUAUUUUUAUUUCAGAGAAGAGACAUUGAGGCGAGGCAGGUGGACCUAAAUGAGGGACACCGAUGGUCCAUCAGACGACGUGUGGAAAGGAUGUUGUUGGGCCCUCAGCCUCUUUGGAAUGUGUCGAUGAAGAGGACACUCCAAGUAAACUGUAUGAAUGAACUGUGGAGGCUAACAGCGACACCUGAUGGUUGAUGAUAAUAUGGCAGUGUCUCGUAGGUCUCACCCAGCACAGGAUAUUCUCCAAGCCCAAGAGAAUACCCGUGCUGUACAAUGCAGUGCC
rnacentral:lncRNA from 1 species